rnacentral:rRNA from 1 species
CCUACGGGAGUCAGCAGUGAGGAAUAUUGGUCAAUGGGCGCGAGCCUGAACCAGCCAAGUAGCGUGAAGGAUGACUGCCCUACGGGUUGUAAACUUCUUUUAUAAAGGAAUAAAGUGAGGCACGUGUGCCUUUUUGUAUGUACUUUAUGAAUACGGAUCGGCUAACUCCGUGCCAUCAGCCGCGGUAAUACGGAGGAUCCGAGCGUUAUCCGGAUUUAUUGGGUUUAAAGGGAGCGUAGAUGGGUUGUUAAGUCAGUUGUGAAAGUUUGCGGCUCAACCGUAAAAUUGCAAUUGAUACUGGCAGUCUUGAGUACAGUUGAGGUAGGCGGAAUUCGUGGUGUAGCGGUGAAAUGCUUAGAUAUCACGAAGAACUCCGAUUGCGAAGGCAGCUUACUAAACUGCCACUGACAUUGAUGCUCGAAAGUGUGGGUAUCAAACAGGAUUAGAUACCCUUGUAGUC